GGUUCUAGAGAUUUAUUUUAGCAUUAUUUUGUUAGUCGUUGUUAGAUCCUUUGGAAGUUUAUGGGAACUUUAGUUUUCUGCAUUUAAGCCUACUUCCAUAUAUAUAAAUUCUUAGUUUGAGGUUAUUUGAUUAGUGAUUAUGGCUCUCCCACAGGCGGGUUAAUGUGGUGUCACUCACGACGGUCUGGAUCGUGAAAAAGUUUGUAUCAGAGCCUAGGUUCAUUAAUCUCGAUGUACCAAAACAAGUCUAGCAGAGUUGCUGAACGACGCGAAAACGCCUACGGUUAAAACUAGAUUCAACGCGUGAGACCCGUAGCUCUCGUCAAUGAACCAAUUGAGGGGUCGCAACAAGAGGUUGCGGUCAAGGCAGGGACAGAGGAAGAGGCAGAGGCUGAGGAUGGGUUGCACUUACUUGGGAUGGAGAACCAGUUGAUAAUGCACCUAGAGGUGAUGUUCCUCCCUCACAUCAUGAAGAGGUAGAGAUAAUGUGGAUAACGGAGACGAGGAGGAUGUUGGACAGGAAGAGGAUACACCGGCUGGGAAUACUGGCGUCCCUCCCUUAGAUCCAAUGUUAUCUUAAAAAUAUCAUGACUUUUCUGAAGGGAUUGGUUGGUCAUGGAAUCCUUCCAGCAGGGCAAACAACUCAACACCCAAUUAAUCGCCUUGCUACUGUUACUUGUCUAAGGGGACAUACGACAUUAUGUAUUUAUUUCUUUUUCCGUCCUUUGUUGGGUCGUAUGAUUAUUGGGAAUGAACAUGACAUAUUUUUCAAACUAAAGCAUCCAGUGUUUCUUGGUUCUAAAAAUGAGGAUGCUUAUGAGUUUAUUUUAGAUUGUUAUGAGAGGCUGCAUAAGUUAGGUAUUGUACAUCAACAUGGGGUGGAUUGAUUCAUGACUUUCCAGCUUCAGUGUGUGACUAAGCAAUGGUGGAGAGCUUAUGUGGAAUGCAGAUCUUCAACUCUAGCCUGAGUCACUUGGACACAGUUUCAUGCUCUGUUUAUGGAAACUUAUGUGCCUCAAACUUUGAGGGAUCGUAAGAAUGAAAAGUUUAUGGAUUUGAAUCAAGGUGGUAUGUUCGUGUCUGCUUACGAGUUGAGUUUCAUGAUUUGUCUAGAUAUGCUCGCAAUUGGUGACUACUAAGGAAGAGAGGAUCCAUUUCUUUUUGUUGAGGGACUGAAUUCUGAGUAUUGUCUGUGCACAUGACUUCUGUAGGAAAAAGUUUUAAUGAGGUAAUAAUUUGUGAAGAAAGUGGAGGGGGUGAGGCGAGAGGGUUAUGCUAAGGCAAUGUGUAAGAAAGAAAAGAACUCAGGAAACUUUUAGGGCUCUUACUCUAGAUGAUCAAGUAGGCCAACACUUAAAGCCCAACCAAUUCAGUCUGCUAUCCGCCUAUAUAGGUAAUUACUUGGGAAAUCCACCUCCAAAUUUGAUUCAGGAUAGUAGGAAAUCACACCUUCGGCGGGUAGCAAGCAAUAUUUUGAUCGUACUCGUUAUAGCUGUGGAGAACCUGGGCAUAUUAGGAGAGAUUGUCCCCACAUGCACAAUAGCAGUCUAGAACAGUGGUACCUGCGUGGAAUGUUAAUAAUGGUCGAGGUCGUCAACAAUGUGAGAGAGGAGGAAAUCAACAAGGUCGUGGAGGUCGAGGAAAUGGUAAUACAGGCAAAACUAUAGCGCAGCGAGACAGGGAAGUCUCCCGUCAAGAUGACAGAGCUCAGUGUUACGCCUUUCUGGGCGAGAGCGAGGUAUAGUCUUCUGACGUGGUGAUCACAUGUACUAUUCUUGUCUGUGACCGGAUAAAUAAUGUGUUAAUUGAUCUGGGUUCUACUUA